rnacentral:rRNA from 1 species
UUCUUGGUCAUUUAGAGGAAGUAAAAGUCGUAACAAGGUUUCCGUAGGUGAACCUGCGGAAGGAUCAUUAAAGAAAUUUAAUAAUUUUGAAAAUGGAUUUUUUUGUUUUGGCAAGAGCAUGGGAGCUUUUACUGGGCAAGAAGACAAGAGAUGGAGAGUCCAGCCGGGCCUGCGCUUAAGUGCGCGGUCUUGCUAGGCUUGUAAGUUUCUUUCUUGCUAUUCCAAACGGUGAGAGAUUUCUGUGCUUUUGUUAUAGGACAAUUAAAACCGUUUCAAUACAACACACUGUGGAGUUUUCAUAUCUUUGCAACUUUUUCUUUGGGCAUUCGAGCAAUCGGGGCCCAGAGGUAACAAACACAAACAAUUUUAUCUAUUCAUUAAAUUUUUGUCAAAAACAAGAAUUUUCGUAACUGGAAAUUUUAAAAUAUUAAAAACUUUCAACAACGGAUCUCUUGGUUCUCGCAUCGAUGAAGAACGCAGCGAAAUGCGAUACGUAAUGUGAAUUGCAGAAUUCCGUGAAUCAUCGAAUCUUUGAACGCACAUUGCGCCCCUUGGUAUUCCAGGGGGCAUGCCUGUUUGAGCGUCAUUUCCUUCUCAAACAUUCUGUUUGGUAGUGAGUGAUACUCUUUGGAGUUAACUUGAAAUUGCUGGCCUUUUCAUUGGAUGUUUUUUUUCCAAAGAGAGGUUUCUCUGCGUGCUUGAGGUAUAAUGCAAGUACGGUCGUUUUAGGUUUUACCAACUGCGGCUAAUCUUUUUUUAUACUGAGCGUAUUGGAACGUUAUCGAUAAGAAGAGAGCGUCUAGGCGAACAACGUUCUUAAAGUUUGACCUCAAAUCAGGUAGGAGUACCCGCUGAACUUAAGCAUAUCAAUAAGCGGAGGAA